rnacentral:lncRNA from 10 species
AUCUUCCAGUACUUUUCCAUUAGCUCAUCCCAGCUCUUAAAAAUCGUCCCAUUGUUUGUUUCAGCAGAGUUAGUUCAAUCUCUCUCCCUUAUUGUAGCCUUGAAUAAAGGCUUUGCCUUUCAAACUCUGUCCUGCCCAUUUUUCUUUGACAUGUUCAGAUGUUGGCAAGGCUGAAAACUGCAGGGGAUCUGGUUGUGAUAAUCCAGGAUCUCAGCUCCAACACCAAGGCCUCUGUGUUCCCUAGAGAAGCCACUCUGGAUGGUCUCUCUGAAGUCUGCCUCCUUCCCUGGCCAGCUCUACAACUUAGAAUGUGAGCUCCAAGGGGCAGUGACCUCAUCUAUCUUACUUAACCCUUCAUACAUAGAAUCUAGAAGAGUGGCCCGCACACACUGAGUGGGCCUGAAUAUAUACAAAUAUGAACAAGACCCACAAGGACUGCUCAUCACCCCAGUAUUCCAUUUACAACAUCCUGAAUGAACUCCCGACCAGGCCUAUAAUUCUCUCUUGCAGCCAAAUAUCCUGCUUACUCCUGGUAUCUACCUGGUCAGCAGACCUCAUGAGUUAUCGCCCAGUGACAAAACCAUCCCAAAGAUGCACCAGUCCAGCACAAAGUAUGACUGUCAAUCUCACAAAAGAUGUAGGGUUCUACGAGGAUACUCAGAGUAUAAGAAUUACGCUAAGUGAAAUAAGCCAAGCCCAGAAAGACACAUACUUUAUUAUUUCAUGUAUCUGUGGAAUCUAAAAGAGUCAAAUUCAUGGCAGCAGGGAGAGGGCUGAAGAAGGGGGAGAUGUUGAUCAAAGUUUCUAUGUAUACAAAGACCAAACCAUCACAUUAUGCCUCAUAAAUAUAUACAAUUAUUAUUUGCUAAUUACAAGUAAAGCAAUACAAGAAGAAAAAAAGGAAUCAUAAGUAAAUCCAUGACAAGUGAAAACGCAAUGGAGAGAAGGGAAUCAAUGAUUGAAGAAGAGAAAGGACAGUGGAUUUACAACUGCUUCGAAAGAGUGAUUUGACUGGCAAAGGACUGGGGAGAGGUCCUUUGGGAAAUGGACAAAGCCCUCGAAUGGUUAGGAAAGACAAUCUCUUUAUAAAUGCAGGGCAUAAGCUGAGCACAAGGUGAAGUUUGGCAUGUACUGCCGUGGGAUGUUGUAAAAAUUAUGUCAAAAGCAAAGCAAUUCUUGGUUCAUCUGUGUUCACUGUGAGACUAGCCUAUUAUUGGGGUUAAACUUAUAAACAAACUUCUAUUCAUCAUUUUUUUCUCCAAAAUAAAGUGAUCAAAUUGUCCCA